GAUGAACGCUGGCGGCGUGCCUAAUACGUGCAAGUCGAACGACCAGACGAUGAGCUUUCUCCUCUGACGUUAGCGGCUGACGGGUGAGUAACACGUGGAUAACCUACCUAUAAUACUGGGAUAACUUCGUGAAACCGGAUCUGAUACCGGAUAAUAUAUUGAACCGCAUGGUUCAAUAGUUCAAGGCAGUUUUGGUGUCACUUUUAGCUGGAGUCGCGCCGCAUUAGCUAGGUGGUAAGGUAACGGCCUACCAAGGCAACGAUGCGUAGCCGACCUGAGAGGGUGAUCGGCCACACUGGAACUGAGACACGGUCCAGACUCCUACGGGAGGCAGCAGUAGGGAAUAUUCGGCAAUGGGCGAAAGCCUGACGGAGCAACGCCGCGUGAGUGAUGAAGGUCUUCGGAUCGUAAAACCCUGUUAUUAGGAAAGAACAAAUGUGUAAGUAACUCUGGACGUCUUGACGGUACCUAAUCAGAAAGCCACGGCUAACUACGUG
rnacentral:rRNA from 1 species